rnacentral:rRNA from 1 species
CACACCGCCCGUCACACCAUGGGAGUUGGAUUGACCGAAGACAGUGGGCUAACCGCAAGGAGGCAGCUGGCCACGGUCGGUUCAGCGACUGGGGUG